CCACAGCAUGUUCAUCUUCAUCUGCACCUUUUAGUAAAUAACUUUGAAAUGCCUGCCAGUGUCCACCAUCUGUCUCAUUCCCAUGAAUUGUUCCUUCCAUGUUUGAUGAAUCUAACUCAUCUAGAGAUUUCGAAUGGAUUCCUUUUGAGGAUCUCAGAGAGCUCUUAUGCUUGCUACUUGUAGUAACAGACAAAUCUCCCUCUU
rnacentral:misc_RNA from 1 species